rnacentral:snRNA from 1 species
GUGCUCACUUCAGCAGCACAUAUACUAAAAACGUGGAAUACACAGAUUAGCCUGGCUGCUGAGCAAGGAUGACAUACAAAUUCAUGAAACGUUCCAUUAAAAA